AACGAACGCUGGCGGCACGUUCUAAGCAUGCAAGUCGAAUGGCAGCAGGGGCAACUCUGUGAGAAUGGCGAACGGGUGAGUAACACGUAGGUGAUCUGCCUUGAGGAUGGGGAUAGCCUGUGGAAACACAGGGUAAUACCGAAUGAGCUGACGAGACUUUGGUUUUGUUAGUAAAGGUGCUACGGCACCGCCUUGAGAGGAGCCUGCGGCUGAUUAGCUAGUUGGUGGGGUAAGAGCUUACCAAGGCGACGAUCAGUAGCCGGCCUGAGAGGGUGUACGGCCACACUGGAACUGAGACACGGUCCAGACUCCUACGGGAGGCAGCAGCUAAGAAUCUUCCGCAAUGGGCGAAAGCCUGACGGAGCGAUGCCGCGUGAUCGAUGAAGGUCGAGAGAUUGUAAGAUCUUUUCUACAUGAGGAAUAAGUCUGGGAGGGAAUGCCCGGAUGAUGACGUUAGUGUAGGAAUAAGCCCCGGCUAAUUACGUGCCAGCCGCCGCAGUAA
rnacentral:rRNA from 1 species